rnacentral:lncRNA from 1 species
UGAUAAUGAGGUUACCCCGGAAUGCAGUUGGUUGGCUGGCAUGCAAAGGUGGGCCUAAAAGACAAUGAACAUGAUGACUGAGGGAGGCUUCACCUAUACCAGUGUUUGGAAUGUCCCAUUCUGUGUCAUCCUGGAAGUUUUUACACCAUAAUUCAAUUCACAGUGUGUGAGAGGUGAGUCUUUUAUUCCUGAAGUGGAAACCCUACAGUACCGAACAGCUGUGGAGGGGAAGGAAUGAAAGAGAAACAGGC